rnacentral:rRNA from 1 species
ACGGGAGGCAGCAGUGGGGAAUAUUGCACAAUGGGCGAAAGCCUGAUGCAGCGACGCCGCGUGAGCGAAGAAGUUAUUCGUAAUGUAAAGCUCUAUCAGCAGGGAAGAAAAUGACGGUACCUGACUAAGAAGCUCCGGCUAAAUACGUGCCAGCAGCCGCGGUAAUACGUAUGGAGCAAGCGUUAUCCGGAUUUACUGGGUGUAAAGGGAGCGUAGACGGAAUUGCAAGUCUGAUGUGAAAUUCCGGGGCUUAACCCCGUACCUGCAUUGGAAACUGUAAUUCUGGAGUGCCGGAGAGGUAAGCGGAAUUCCUAGUGUAGCGGUGAAAUGCGUAGAUAUUAGGAGGAACACCAGUGGCGAAGGCGGCUUACUGGACGGUAACUGACGUUGAGGCUCGAAAGCGUGGGGAGCAAACAGGAUUAGAUACCCUGGUA